GGCUUGGCUCAACAACGUAGCAGCACUCUCUCUCGGUUUGGGUUGGUAAAACUACUGAAACUUUAUUUGGCAAGAGGACACAACC